GGUAGACUAGUGGGAUAACAUGUUUAUCAACAAUGAAGCUCUAAAAUAGUUUAUAAGUCUACUUGUAUAUGCAUGCAUGCAAGGGGAUAUGUGUUGAGCCCAUAUAUGUUCGACUUUGUGCAUGCUUUUAGUAUUAAAAAAUUCUUCCAGGUUUCACCUAAAACAGUACACAUUUUAGUUCAUAACAAGAUUUUUUUUCUAGCGGAAAUCCUUGAUUCUUCAGUUAUUAUUUGUUACAAUACAUAAUAUACUACACCAUCCUAUUAUUUACUUUCAGCUUCUUAGUUUUUUACCGUGAUGCAUGGCCACCUCUAUAUCAUAUCCAGUGCCAUGCAUCCUUGUUUUACUUUCACACACGCUAAUAAGCUAUGCAUAUACCUUGAUGCAUGGUCCGACCAAUUUCAGUGGGUUUUAUUCAAAGGUAUUCCCAAGCUCUUCCACCUAUGAUGCGGUAAAGUGGUGGUAGACUAGUAGGAUAACAUGUUCGUUGACAGUGAAGCACUUGGAUAGCUUAUAGGUUUAGUAUGCGCAUGCAAAUGGAGUAUUUGUUGCGACGAGCCUAUAAGUGCCGUGUGAGUCUUUCUAAAACUGCAGAUAACCCUCCCUAUUAUUUGGAUAUUCUCAAUCCGGUCCAAACCCUUCACUUUUGCACUUGUAACCCUGAACCUUGUCUUUUCUCGAAGACUAUUUCCUGUGUCUUGAGAACUUGUCUACCUACCUCUUCACAUAUAUGAUCAAUUACAUAUGAACCUUGAAUCAAUCGGCUUGCAUUGUUUUUAUUUCAAUGUGAUGCAAAUUUAUUCAUAUCCGGGAAUAAAUGAUGCGGCUCAAAUCAUGUUAUCAUCGGAAUAUUAUGUUAUGUUUAUUGGAUAAGGCGAGUGUGAGGAUUUUUUCCAUUUGGACACGAUUUGAACCUCGACGGUGGCGCCUUCCAUUUCUGGUUGGUGCUUUCAAGCACUGGAUGUGAAUGGCUGCCUCUGGUAGUUGUGUGCAAAGUGGGGCUGAUGGAAUGGAAUUUAUAAGCAAUGCAAGUGUCGUAGUCCUUACAAAGAGAACAAGUACUACAGCCUCCAGGAGCGCAAUAAAAUGCAUCAAUAUUUAAUUUUAUGUACUGCACGUAAACUGGUAAAAAGAUUUACGAAUCUCAGGAAGGAUGGAACCAACUUUAGCAAAGCAGUCGAAAUGGAGUAGAUUAGACCUGAGCAAAUGAAUCCCAGUCCAGUCCGGCCCGGGCCGAGCCCACCAGGCUAAGCUCAGCCCGAUCUCCAUAGGGCUGGGCGUGGUGCUGAUUUUUUGCCAAAUAAUGGACGGCCUCAGUCUAGCAUGAUUAUUUAUUUCAAUUAUUAUUACACGUAAAAAUAGUGGGCGGCUUGACCAGAGCCCAAGCCGAAAAUUGUGGCCCGAUGCCUCUCGUGGGCGGGCAUGUGCGUGAUUUUUCAGUCUGAAACAAACUGGAUUUGGAUUUUGUCUCAGUUAAAAUUGGCACAUAUGGCCAAACCGGGCUGAGCGGGUUGAUUAAACAGAUUAGACUGGUUUGGGUAAAUUUUGUAAAAAAAAAUACAAAUUGGACUUCGGCAUUGCAUAGAUUCCGUCGAGAUAAUCAAAAUGCAUUUUGUAGAAUGUCGAACAAUUUGGAGUGAGGGAGUUAUGACUUUGCAAAGAUCUUCUAUCCGAAAUUGCGAAGCAUUUAAUUGAUAAAGAGGAUAUGUAGAUCCGGUUCCUAUUAUUUGAAAGUCGGCUAUUAAAAAUUCAGCUAAUAUUAAUGUUGGUGAUGAAUUAAUAACUGAUCCUUGUACAAAUACGGCAACAAUGGUAUUAUUUGUUAAGAUCCAAUUAUAUUCAGCUAUCUCAAACGGAGAAUGUGUUGAUACAAAAUCCUCAAGUAUGAGUAUUGAAGCAGUAUCUAGUUAUUCCAUGCUCGGGGCCAACCUGCCUUUUGGAGACAGAGCCAUCUUUUUUAUUUUUUGAUCCUUUUUUGAAAGAUUCUCACAAAUACGCCCCUGGCGGAACCAUUUCAAAAUUUGGACCCUUAGUUUGGCGCCAUCCACGCUGGUGCCAAGCUUACACGUCUCGGGCGCUAGCCAUCCUAGCGCCCAAGGCCCAUACGUAGCUGCUGACGCGGAUGCCGAUGUGGCCGGGNNNNNNNNNNNNNNNNNNNNNNNNNNNNNNNNNNNNNNNNNNNNNNNNNNNNNNNNNNNNNNNNNNNNNNNNNNNNNNNNNNNNNNNNNNNNNNNNNNNNCAUCUUAGCGCAGAGCGAUUUACCGUACCUCUUCCCCAUUUUCGACCGAAACCAAGUAUAAUUAUUCCAAGGAGUGUGCAACAAACUAUGUUGCGGUUCAACUGGUUAGGACGUGGGCUUCUUAUCUCAGAGACAUCCGCGUCAGCAGCUGCGCAUGGACCUUGGCGCUAGGAUGGCUGGUGCCGAGACGUGUAAGCUUGGCACUAGCGUGGAUGGCGCCAAGCUAAGGGUCCAGAUUUUCAAAUGGUUCCGCCAGAAGCGUAUUUGUGAGAAUCUUUCAAAAAAGGGUAAAAAAAAAAGAGACAGAGGGCCAGAGGGGAUGGAUGUCCUUGAUUUCGAUACAGUGUCUUUUGCUUAAUUUUGUGGCCCACAUAGCAAUAGGCCCACUCACCAAGCCCAGCCCAAUUUGGAACCUCUUGGACCUGUCCUCUGGCGGUCGGGCCAGGCGCCUUCCCCCCUGCUGGAAAGAAGACGACCUUGUUGCGUCUUGAAGGUCUAGGCAAGGAUGAUGCAUAUAUAAUCACUAGGCUUUAUAGCUUAAGUUUUGCAUAAAAGUAGAAAUAAUAUUACUAACAAGAACGUUAUUUUACGAAUUCCGAAUGAUUGAAAAAUUGAACACAAUUUCCGGGAUCAUUAAGCUAUCUAUUUAGUAGACAAGAACGUGCCCAUAUAGUAUUUUUAACACUAACAGAAACAUUACCCAUCAGUAAGGAGAAAGCAUGCGAAUAUCUUAUAUGAACCGAUUGAUUUCAGCCAGCCCAUGGUUUUAUUGAAAGAUAUUUUUAGGCUCUGCCACAACUGCAUGUGCCAUGGUGGUAAUAGACUAGUAGGAUAACAUAAUAUAACAUGUUCCUUGACAAUAAAUCAUUAAGAUAGUUUAUAAGUCUACCAGUACAUGCGUGAAAGGGGAUAUGUGUUGAGACUAUAUGUGUUCAAGUUUAUGUAUAUGUUUUUUAGGUUUAAAGAAAUUCUUCCAGAUUUCACCUAAAACACGUCGUAAUUCAUAAGAAGAUAUUUUUAAAAAAAUUUGCAAGCAUAAAUCCUUAACUAUUCACUUAUUAUCUGUUAUUACAAUACAUAAUAUACUACACCAUUCCAUUAUUUGCUUUCAACUUCUUAGUUUUUACCUUGAUGCAUGGGCACCUGUACCAUAACCAUAACCAGUGCCAUGCAUACUUGUUUUACUUUUACACAAGCUAUGCACCUUGAUGCAUGGUCCGACCGAUUUUAGUGGGUUUUAUUCAAAGGUAUCCUUAUGCUCUUCCACGCAUGAUGCGUCAAAGUGGUGGUAGAAUAGUAGGAUAACAUAUUCCUGUGAAGUACUUGGAUAGUUUAUAGGUUUAGCAUGCGCAUGCAAAUGGAGUACGAUGUUGCUACAAGCUUAGGAGUAUGAGUGUAGUGUGAGUUUGUGCGUGCUUUUAGGUUGAUUUUUUUUCCUUUUAGGCUUCACCUAAUAAAACACAUAAUAAGAAGAUAUUUUAUAAAUAUUUUUGCAAGCUAAAAUCUUGAUUUUUUCAGUUUUUAUUUGUUAAAGUACAUAUAAUAUAAUAAACCAUUCCCCUAUUUGCUUUCAGCUUUUUAGUUUCUACCUUGAUGCAUGUAUGGGCACCUGUAUCAUAACCAGUGCCAUGCAUAUAUGCUUGUUUUACUUUUACACAAGCUAUGCAUAUACCUUGAAUCCUUGAUGCAUGAUCCGAAUGAUUUCAGUGGGUUUUGUUCAAAAGUAUCCCUAGGCUCUUCCAAUGCAUGAUGCACCAAAGUGGUGGUAGACUAGUAGGAUAACAGCAUGUUUCUCGACAGUGAAGCACUUGGAUAGCUUAUAGGUUUAGUAUGC
rnacentral:lncRNA from 1 species